GGGGUAGUAGUCUAGUGGUUCGGGUGUUUGGCUCCCAGCCCAAAAGAUACUGGGUUCGAUUCCCAAUGUCCGCA